rnacentral:misc_RNA from 1 species
CCGAGUUCAUGCCCUUCGGGGUAGAUCUCCCACCCUUUGUAUACUAUACCUUUGUUGCUUUGGCGGGCCGCCUAGCUACUGGCUUCGGCUGGUAAGUGCCCGCCAGAGAACCCAACUCUUGUAUUUAGUGAUGUCUGAUUUACAAAAAAAACAAGUUA